UACAGAGGUCUCAAGCGUUGUUCGGAUUCAUUGGGCGUAAAGGGUGCGUAGGCGGCGCGGUAAGUCGGGUGUGAAAUCCCUCGGCUUAACCGGGGAACUGCAUCUGAUACUGGAUGGCUUGAAUUCCGGAGAGGGAUGCAGAAUUCCAGGUGUAGCGGUGAAAUGCGUAGAUAUCUGGAGGAAUACCGGUGGCGAAGGCGGCAUCCUGGACCGACAUUGACGCUGAGGAGCGAAAGCCAGGGGAGCAAACGGG
rnacentral:rRNA from 1 species